rnacentral:rRNA from 1 species
GACGUAGGUGGCGAACGUUAUCCGGAAUUAUUGGGCGUAAAGGAUGCGUAGAUGGUGUAGUAAGUUAUCGGUGGCAAAUCGAGGCUCAACCUCGUGGAAGUCGGUAAUACUGCUAUGCUAGAGGAUAGGAGAGGUUAACGGAACUCCCUGUGGAGCGGUGAAAUGCGUAGAUAUAGGGAAGAACACCAAUCAGGCGAAGGCAGUUAACUAUUCUAUUCCUGACAUUGAGGCAUGAAAGCGUGGGGAGCGAACAGG